rnacentral:rRNA from 1 species
CCUACGGGCGGCAGCAGUGAGGAAUAUUGGUCAAUGGACGCAAGUCUGAACCAGCCAUGCCGCGUGCAGGAUGACGGCUCUAUGAGUUGUAAACUGCUUUUGUACGAGGGUAAACCCCGAUACGUGUAUCGUGUUGAACGUAUCGUACGAAUAAGGAUCGGCUAACUCCGUGCCAGCAGCCGCGGUAAUACGGAGGAUCCGAGCGUUAUCCGGAUUUAUUGGGUUUAAAGGGUUCGUAGGCGGUUUGAUAAGUUAGAGGUGAAAUGUCGGGGCUCAACCCCGAAACUGCCUCUAAUACUGUUGGACUAGAGAAUAGUUGCGGUAGGCGGAAUGUAUGGUGUAGCGGUGAAAGGCUUAGAGAUCAUACAGAACACCGAUUGCGAAGGCAGCUUACCAAACUAUAUCUGACGUUGAGGCACGAAAGCGUGGGUAGCAAACAGGAUUAGAUACCCUAGUAGUC